rnacentral:rRNA from 1 species
ACUCCUACGGGAGGCAGCAGUGGGGAAUAUUGGACAAUGGGCGCAAGCCUGAUCCAGCAAUACCGCGUGUGUGAAGAAGGCCUUCGGGUUGUAAAGCACUUUUAUAUGGGAAGAAGUGUGGUGUGUUAAUAGCACAUUGCAUUGACGGUACCAUAGGAAUAAGCACCGGCUAACUCCGUGCCAGCAGCCGCGGUAAUACGGAGGGUGCGAGCGUUAAUCGGAAUUACUGGGCGUAAAGGGUACGUAGGCGGCUUGAUAAGUCAGAUGUGAAAUCCCGGCUAGCCUAGGCAGCAUGCAUUGAACUGAUUGUAGCUAGAGUGAGUGAGAGGUUAGUGGAAUUCAAGGCGUAGCGGUGAAAUGCGUAGAGGUCUUGAGGAACAUCAGUGGCGAAGGCGACUGACUGGCACUACACUGACGCUGAGGUACGAAAGCGUGGGGAGCGAACAGGAUUAGAUACCCUGGUAGGCUCU